rnacentral:rRNA from 1 species
GACGAACGCUGGCGGCGUGCUUAACACAUGCAAGUCGAACGGAAAGGCCCUGCUUUUGUGGGGUGCUCGAGUGGCGAACGGGUGAGUAACACGUGAGUAACCUGCCCUUGACUUUGGGAUAACUUCAGGAAACUGGGGCUAAUACCGGAUAGGAGCUCCUGCUGCAUGGUGGGGGUUGGAAAGUUUCGGCGGUUGGGGAUGGACUCGCGGCUUAUCAGCUUGUUGGUGGGGUAGUGGCUUACCAAGGCUUUGACGGGUAGCCGGCCUGAGAGGGGGACCGGCCACAUUGGGACUGAGAUACGGACCAGACUCCUACGGGAGGCAGCAGGGGGGAAUAUUGCACAAUGGGCGGAAGCCUGAUGCAGCAGCGCCGCGUGCGGGAUGACGGCCUUCGGGUUGUAAACCGCUUUCGCCUGUGACGAAGCGUGAGUGACGGUAAUGGGUAAAGAAGCACCGGCUAACUACGUG